rnacentral:lncRNA from 10 species
UGUGUACCUGUCUGUGUUCAUGCGUCUCUCCGUUUGCUUCAAACUGUUAACUUCUUGAGGACAGGAAUGAUGUUACACCCAGCUCAGAACCUAACUAUGUUUAAUUUGCAGGGCCCCAGGCACUGAACAUAAGAGGACAGAUGAAAAGUUCUUCCACUUAGAAAGUUGUGACAGCCACAAGGGGCUCACUCUGGAGGCUGCAGCCGAGGUCUCAGGACACUGAUCAUGCUGACGAAAGGAGGAAUUCUUACCACACCAGCCCCCCACAAUUCUGCUCAGAAUCUGG